AACGAACGCUGGCGGCAUGCCUAACACAUGCAAGUCGAACGAGACCAUCGGGUCUAGUGGCGCACGGGUGCGUAACGCGUGGGAACCUGCCCUUAGGUUCGGAAUAACUCCCCGAAAGGGGUGCUAAUACCGGAUAAUGUCUUCGGACCAAAGAUUUAUCGCCUUUGGAUGGGCCCGCGUUGGAUUAGCUAGUUGGUAGGGUAAAAGCCUACCAAGGCGACGAUCCAUAGCUGGUCUGAGAGGAUGAUCAGCCACACUGGGACUGAGACACGGCCCAGACUCCUACGGGAGGCAGCAGUGGGGAAUAUUGGACAAUGGGCGAAAGCCUGAUCCAGCAAUGCCGCGUGAGCGAUGAAGGCCUUAGGGUUGUAAAGCUCUUUUACCCGGGAUGAUAAUGACAGUACCGGGAGAAUAAGCUCCGGCUAACUCCGUG
rnacentral:rRNA from 1 species